UGGGGAAUAUUGCACAAUGGGGGAAACCCUGAUGCAGCGACGCCGCGUGAGCGAUGAAGGCUUUCGAGUCGUAAAGCUCUGUCCUAUGGGAAGAUAAUGACGGUACCAUAGAAGAAAGCCCCGGCUAAUUACGUGCCAGCAGCCGCGGUAAUACGUAAGGGGCGAGCGUUGUCCGGAAUUAUUGGGCGUAAAGUUCGUAGGCGGCAAAUUAAGUCAGAUGUGAAAACUAAGGGCUCAACCCAUAGAUUGCAUCUGAAACUGAUAUGCUUGAGUCAAGGGGAGGGAAGUGGAAUUCCUAGUGUAGCGGUGGAAUGCGUAGAUAUUAGGAGGAAUACCGGUGGCGAAGGCGACUUUCUGGACUUGAACUGACGCUGAGGCACGAAAGCGUGGGGAGCAAACAGG
rnacentral:rRNA from 1 species